UGGUGUCCCUGCCCAUGGCAGAGGGUUGGAACUGGGUGAUCUUUAAGGUCCCUUCCAUUUCAUUAUGUUACAGAAUUAAAACCUUAUUUCGAAUGAAACUGGUAUCUUGUGAUUGACGUUAUUUUGUGACAAAUUAAACGUGUGCCAUCGCUUCACUAGAGAGUCAAUUGAAAAAAACUAAGAAAAAGAACCCUCGGGCUAUAAAAACUGCAGACCAGUUGUGACUUAGCGCAUGCGUGGUGGCUCUGUCCCGUGUCCGCUUUGACUACAUUUCCCAGCGUGCCCCGCGGCGUCCCCGCGCAUGCUCCCGGCGCCGCGGAGAGACCCGCGGUGAUCGCGGUCCGUGGACAUGGAGGAGGGCGCUGGGAGCGGGGUCUCGGGGCCGUCGAGCGCGGAUGGAGCGGGAGCGGGAGCGGGAGCGGGAGCGGGAGCGGGAGCAGGAGCAGGAGCAGGCCCGGCCCCGGCCGAUGAGGACCGGGACAUGGAGGGGGCCCCCAGCUGCUCGGGGUCGCGCUCCGUCCCCUUCGAGUUCCAGCGGAGCCGCUCGGAGUCCACCGGCGAUGAGGACGACGACGACGACGAAGACGACGACGAGGAGGAAGAGGAGCUGGAGGGGGACGCCGGGGCUCGGUUCGGGACGGAUGACGGGGAGCACGACUCGGGCGACGACCGGGAGCGUAUGAUAAACCUCACAGAGUUGACCCCUUAUAUCCUGUGUUCCAUCUGCAAAGGUUACUUUAUUGAUGCUACAACUAUUACAGAAUGUCUGCACACCUUUUGUAAAAGCUGCCUUGUGAGACACUUCUACUAUAGCAACAGAUGUCCAAAAUGCAAUAUUGUUGUACAUCAGACACAGCCCCUUUAUAAUAUCAGACUGGACCGGCAACUGCAAGACAUAGUCUAUAAAUUAGUUGUCAAUCUUGAGGAAAGAGAGAAAAAACAAAUGCAUGACUUCUAUAAAGAAAGAGGAUUAGAAGUGCCCAAACCAGCUGUCCCACAGCCAGUUCCAACGAGCAGAGGAAGACCUCGUAAGGUUCUAGGCUCAGUGUUCCAGAUUCCACCAGAACUUGACAUCUCCAUACUUCUGGAGUUUAUUGGAGCUAACGAAGGCACAGGGAAUUUUAAGCCUUUGGAAAAGAAGUUUGUACGUGUUUCUGGGGAGGCAACAAUUGGACAUGUGGAGAAAUUCCUCAGAAGAAAAAUGGAUCUGGACCCUGCUUGUCAGGUGGACAUAAUAUGUGGUGAUCACCUGCUGGAGCACUACCAGACACUGAGGGAAAUUCGUCAAGUCAUAGGAGAGAGCGCAGUGCAGCUGCUGGUUAUUUUCAUUUGUCUGAAACUGGGCCUUCUCAGAGUUCUGCAUCACUGAUGGAUAUAAUGAGCUCACACAUGGGAAAAGCUAAAAGGAGUGCCUUCCGUGAUGUCCUUGGCCCUUGGCACAGAGGAUGGUUUGCUUGUACUGCACUAUGGCCUGGUGGUAUCUCCGCUAACUUAAAGAUUGCUGGAAUAUUACAAGGCAAAAGAAUCGGAAGAGUCAUGGCGCUUCUUCACUGCUGUUUCUCACCAAAGAAGCCAGCGUAUUUCCUGUGGCAGGAAGCAAGUUAAAGGAACUACCACUAACUGCUGUGUGAUCGUAGUGUAACAUCUGACUUCACCACUGUAAAAAAUUGCAGCUUCUGUAAGUACAGCUGUAGAUGUUGGUAUGCUUCAUGUUACAAAUUACUGUCUUCAAAUUUCACUCAGCUCAGGGAAUUUAAAUGCUCAGAGUAGCUGCAUUUUUUUUACUUUCUAAAAACCACAAGAUUUCACAGGGUUAACGGCCUUUUUUUCCUCUAAGCUCUGAGAUAUCUCUUGCUUUCUAAGUGUCUAGCUAGAACAGUGCUCUCAGGGAUGAUCUUCAGUGAGCAGUAUAUCUUCAGUGUAUUUUUGGGAGGAGACAGUGAGUUGCCUAAAAAAAUGUGUACUGUGAUCAUCUGUCUUCAUAUGUGAUUUGGGGGUAGGAAGGAAACUAGAAAUGCAGACCAAAAUAGGUAGAAAACGAUGCAACAUAAGCAUUGGGUUUUUUGAGAAGUAGCAUUAAAUUUAGUUGUUUUUCUUGAAGAAAGACAAUUUUGUUUGCACUGGAAGUAUAUUUGCUGGUAGUUUGGCUUAUACCAAAUGGUGGAUCAUGCAUCUCUAGUCUUAAUGGAGAUGCGCUGGCUGUAAGCUGGUUAAACUAUGCAUGAAAAAAAAAAGUAGCACCUCUUUCUACCUGCUUGCUGUGUGUAAAGUGAUCACUGUCGGCGUGAUUCUGCUAUCAUGAAUCUGUCAACUGGCUUGACUGUCAGGAGCAUAAAUCCAUUCACUUUAGCACAUACCUCUCUAGCAGCUGUGAAAAUGGUUGCUUUUUCCACUCUUUUUAAUGUGUUUUAGUGCAUCGCAGUGGAGAGCAGGGUUGAGUAAUGUAAUACUUGCCUGUUACUACCAGAUGUGCAGAGGAUUUUAGGUAACUUUAACAUAUUAAAAUACUAUGGUUUGUGACAACUCUAA